rnacentral:tRNA from 1 species
GGGCAAGUGGCGGAAUCGGCAGACGCGCUAGCCUUAGGAGCUAGUCCCGCAAGGGGUCAGGGUUCAAAUCCCUGCUUGCCCACCA